AGCGAACGCUGGCGGCAGGCCUAACACAUGCAAGUCGAACGAACUCUUCGGAUUUAGUGGCGGACGGGUGCGUAACACGUGGGAACGUGCCUUUAGGUUCGGAAUAACUCAGGGAAACUUGUGCUAAUACCGAAUGUGUCCUUCGUGGGAAAGAUGUAUCGCCUUUAGAUCGGCGCGCGUCUGUUUAGCUAGUUGGGGAGGUAAAGGCUCACCAAGGCGACGUUCAGUAGCUGGUCUGAGAGGAUGAUCAGCCACAUUGGGACUGAGACACGGCCCAAACUCCUACGGGAGGCAGCAGUGGGGAAUCUUGCGGAAUGGGCGAAAGCCUGACGCAGCCAUGCCGGGUGAAUGAUGAAGGUCUUAGGAUUGUAAAAUUCUUUCACCGGGGACGAUAAUGACGGUACCCGGAGAAGAAGCCCCGGCUAACUUCGUG
rnacentral:rRNA from 1 species